UCUAACAUGUGCGCGAGUCAUUGGGUUGAACUCUAAACCUAAAGGCGCAAUGAAAGUGAAGGUCAACUUCGGUGGACCGAGGGAAGAUGGGGCGUGCUUCUGUGCGCCCCCGCAUUCCCGGGGCGUCUCGUUCUCAUUGCGAGUUGAGGCGCACCCAGAGCGUACACGUUGGGACCCGAAAGAUGGUGAACUAUGCCUGGCCAGGACGAAGUCAGGGGAAACCCUGAUGGAGGUCCGUAGCGAUUCUGACGUGCAAAUCGAUCGUCGGAGCUGGGUAUAGGGGCGAAAGACUAAUCGAACCAUCUAGUAGCUGGUUCCCUCCGAAGUUUCCCUCAGGAUAGCUGGUGCUCGAUGUCGAGUCUCAUCCGGUCAAGCGAAUGAUUAGAGGCCUUGGGGCCGAAACGACCUCAACCUAUUCUCAAACUUUAAAUGGGUGAGAUCUCCGGCUUGCUUAACUGAAGCCGCGAGAUUUCGGAUACGAGUGCCAAGUGGGCCACUUUUGGU
rnacentral:rRNA from 1 species